rnacentral:snRNA from 1 species
UACACUAUCUUUUGAAUGAA